AGUGAACGCUGGCGGCGUGCCUAAUACAUGCAAGUCGAACGGAGUGGCGCACGGGUGAGUAAUAUAUAGCUAAUCUGCCCCUUGCUGGAGGACAACAGUUAGAAAUGACUGCUAAUACUCCAUAGCAAGGGAUGAGACGAUAUCGUAUCAGCUAGUCGGUGGGGUAACGGCCUACCGAGGUUAUGAAGCGUAACUGGUCUGAGAGGAUGAUCAGGCACAUUGGAAGGGAGACACGGUCCAAACGCCUACGGGAAGGAGCAGUAGGGAAUAAUGCGCAAGGGGGGAAACCCUGACGCAGCAACGGCGCGUAGAGGAUGACACUUUUCGGAGCAUAAACUCCUUUUGUUAGGGAGGCGGUACCUAACGAAUAAGCACCGGCUAACUCCGUGCCAGCAGCCGCGGUAAUUC
rnacentral:rRNA from 1 species